AGAGUUUGAUUAUGGCUCAGAAUGAACGCUGGCGGCAUGGAUUAGGCAUGCAAGUCGAACGUACUCCCGUUCGGGGAGAAAGUGGCGAAAGGGUGAGUAACACGUGAGCAACCUGCCUCCGGAUCCGGAAUAAUCCAGGGAAACUUGGUCUAAAACCGGAUGAAGACAUUGGGCCGCAUGGUCUGGUAGUUAAAAUAUUUAUAGUCCGGAGAGGGGCUCGCGGCCCAUUAGCUUGUUGGCGGGGUAAUGGCCCACCAAGGCUACGACGGGUAGGUGGUCUGAGAGGAUGGUCACCCACACUGGGACUGAGACACUGCCCAGACUCCUACGGGAGGCUGCAGUCGAGAAUCUUCCGCAAUGGGCGCAAGCCCUGACGGAGUGAUGCCGCGUGGAGGGAUGAAGGCCUUCGGGUUGUAAACCUCUGUCAUCCGGGACGAAAACAAUGACGGUACCGGAAAAGGAAGCCACGGCUAACCACGUGCCAGCCGCCGC
rnacentral:rRNA from 1 species